AUAAAUUUGAUUCUGGUUUAAGAAAAAUUAUAAUAGCUUUAAAUUUUGAUGAGUUUAAUAUGUAAGUUUUUGCGUGAAUGUUUAUAUAUUCUUAAAAAGAAUAUAUUUAUGUGUUAUUUAUUCGCAGUUUUUAAUUUUAUUUAUUUAAUAAUUUAAGAAAUAGUUAAUUGUAAGAUGACUAGCAAAAAUUGUGCCAGCAGCUGCGGUUAUACAAUUAGUUAGAGUUAUUUUUAUUAGAUUUCCAUUAGUUUUAUAUUUAUUGAGUAUAAUAUUUUUAUUUUUAAGUGAAAUUUAAAUUUGAACAUAUUAUUCUGGUGUUAUAUUAUGGGAAAUUCUCUUUAUUAAACUAGGAUUAGAUACCCUAUUAUAAGGAAUGUAAAUCUUUGUCUUAGUAUUAUAAGUUAUGAUCUUUAAAUUGAAAGAAUUUGACGGUAAUUUUAAUCAUUUUAGAGGAACCUGUUCUGUAAUUGAUAAUCCACGAUGAAUUUUACCUUUAAUUAUUGCUUGUAUAUCUCUGUCUGAGUGAAUGUUUUAUUAGAAUUAUUUUCUUUAAUUUUUAUUGAAAUUUAUGUCAGGUCAAGGUGCAGUUAUAUAAAGGUUUGAAAUGGGUUACAUUUAAUAUUAACUAUAAUUUAUUGGAUUGAGUUAUGAAUUUUUGACUCAUGAAAUAGGAUUUAAUUGUAAUGUUUAAUAUAUAUUAUUCAUGAUAUAUGUUCUUGAUUAAGUACAUAUCGCCCGUCACUCUCAUUAAUAAGAUGGGAUAAGUCGUAACAAAGUAGUCCUAUCGGAAGAUGGGGCUGGUAAUAUA
rnacentral:ncRNA from 1 species